rnacentral:rRNA from 1 species
GACGAACCGUGCGAACGUUAUUCGGAAUCACUGGGCUUAAAGCGCGUGUAGGCGGGCCGGCACGUCCGAGGCUGAAAUCCCCCGGCUCAACCGGGGAAGGGGCCCGGAUACGACCGGCCUGGAGGGGGGUAGGGGGCGCCGGAACUUCCGGUGGAGCGGUGAAAUGCGUUGAGAUCGGAAGGAACGCCCGUGGCGAAAGCGGGCGCCUGGACCACACCUGACGCUGAGACGCGAAAGCCAGGGGAGCGAACGGG